rnacentral:lncRNA from 1 species
UGGUAGUUGGAAACCACGGUGGGCACCCGCUUGAUGGUCAGCUUCAUCUCCAUGAUUAAAUCUCAAUUCCUUCCUCUCUCUCGGGGUCAGGGUCAGGUCAGCGAAAGAUUUUUGUUGAUUGGAUGUUAGAGAAGGUGGAUGGGGGGGGCGAGCGGUCUCAGAGGCGACCGCCGCCGGCGAGGAAGAGGAGGUCAGAGGGGCUGCCGCCGGCCGAGGGAAGCGCCCCGCGGCCGCCGUGCGGGGCUGGGCUGGACGCCGUCGCCGGAGAAGCGAUGGCUCCCCCACUGGGCGUGGGCGGCGCAGCUGCGUGGCCGCGCCCGACCGCUUCAACGCUAGCCGUCUU